GAAGCAGAUUUAUCCUCAGAGCAACCAAAUAGGACCAUGGGCCUGAGAACAUGGUGACUCCAGCCUUGUGAGAGGAAUCAGAGGACCCAGACGAGUUACACUGUAACCAGACUUCGGAACCAGCCAGGGAGUGAACCCAUGUCCCCUGCAUUGCAAGGUGGAUUCUUAACCACUGGAACCACCUGGGGUUCUUUGGGAGUUGGGUAUUUUCAGAGGGACCUGGACCAUGCUUGCACGACAAUACGCCAUGGAGGGGAUCUUCCCGACCCAGGGAUCGAACCCACGUCUCUUGCAUCUCUUGCACUGGCAGGCGGAUUCUUUACCACUGCACCACCUGGGAAUCCCUGAGAAAAAUGCCAAAGCAGAUACGCAGCUGGGCAGUGGAGGAGUGGCUCUGUUCCAUGGGGGAGACUGGGUUAUUUCAGAUGACCUCUCUGCACCCCUGAACACCAUGAGAGACUUUAGCUACCUCGCUCAGGUUCAUCUGGCCCUGAUCCCCAGACCACCUGUAGGUAUUCUCAUGACCCUGACUGUAGUCCAUAGCUUAACAGAGAGAUUCAGGGGAAAUCAGUGCCGCCAACUACAUCCAUUUUGAUCUGCUCCUAAGCCCUCCACUGGGAACAUCACCAAUAUGGCAAACAUCUUGAAAAGGUCCAUUUCUGUGCCUCCUUGCCGAGGGUUUCCAGGGUCUCGGGGUCCAUCGAAAGUGACGAGUUGUUUUGAGUUGUGUCCAGUAUUUUCACAGUAUGUUUCUUCGCCACAAAGAUUUUUGCCCUGAACAUUUUCACUGCAUAAGUAAUUGGCCAUAAAGCAAUUGCGUCAUAAGAGGAAAAAUAACUGGCUGACAGUUUGGUUUGAAGUAUACAGUACAAAGAUCACGACAGAUAACAGUGAUUUGUCCUGAGAGUUGAUUUCUUUAUUUUGAAACACUGGAGGAGAAAGAGGCCUUGAGGGCACAGGGUCGAGCCCUCAUUUUCCAUAGAACUUUGGAACAUUUCUCCGUGGACACACGACAAUAUGCCAAGGACAUACAAUGGUGUAGAGGCUUUCACAGCUCAAUAAAGCUCAGUUGCAAACAUGCAUCCUGUGUUG
ensembl:lncRNA